GACAGAGGCCCCGAGCGUUAGUCGGAAUUACUGGGCUUAAAGGGUGCGUAGGCGGGCGUGUAAGUGCUUUGUGAAAGCCCUGGGCUCAACCCAGGAACCGCAGGGCAUACUGCACGUCUUGAAGUAGCUAGAGGCCGGUGGAACGAUCGGUGGAGCGGUGGAAUGCGUAGAGAUCGAUCGGAACGCCAAGGGUGAAGACAACCGGCUGGGGCUUACUUGACGCUGAGGCACGAAAGCGUGGGGAU
rnacentral:rRNA from 1 species